GAUGAACGCUAGCGGCAGGCCUAACACAUGCAAGUCGAGGGAGAGGUUAUCUUCGGGUAACCGAAACCGGCGCACGGGUGCGUAACGCGUAUACAAUCUGCCUUUCACAUAGGGAUAGCCCGAAGAAAUUUGGAUUAAUACCUAAUGGUAUAUAAGAGCGGCAUCGUUUUUAUAUUAAAGCUACGGUGGUGAAAGAUGAGUAUGCGUUCUAUUAGCUAGUUGGAGAGGUAACGGCUCCCCAAGGCGACGAUAGAUAGGGGUUCUGAGAGGGAUGUCCCCCACACUGGUACUGAGAUACGGACCAGACUCCUACGGGAGGCAGCAGUGAGGAAUAUUGGACAAUGGUCGGAAGACUGAUCCAGCCAUGCCGCGUGCAGGAUGAAGGUCCUAUGGAUUGUAAACUGCUUUUGUAAGGGAAGAAUAAGGAGUACGUGUACUUUGAUGACGGUACCUUACGAAUAAGCAUCGGCUAACUCCGUGCCAGCAGCCGCGGUAAUACGGAGGAUGCGAGCGUUAUCCGGAAUCAUUGGGUUUAAAGGGUCCGUAGGCGGGCUGAUAAGUCAGAGGUGAAAGCGCUUAGCUCAACUAAGCAACUGCCUUUGAAACUGUCAGUCUUGAAUGAUUGUGAAGUAGUUGGAAUGUGUAGUGUAGCGGUGAAAUGCUUAGAUAUUACACAGAACGCCGAUAGCGAAGGCAUAUUACUAACAAUUUAUUGACGCUGAUGGACGAAAGCGUGGGGAGCGAACAGG
rnacentral:rRNA from 1 species